rnacentral:rRNA from 1 species
GAUGAACGCUGGCGGCGUGCCUAAUACGUGCAAGUAGAACGCUGAAGGAAGGAGCUUGCUCUUUCCGGAUGAGUUGCGAACGGGUGAGUAACGCGUAGGUAACCUGCCUGGUAGCGGGGGAUAACUAUUGGAAACGAUAGCUAAUACCGCAUAACAGUAGAUGUUGCAUGAUAUCUACUUAAAAGGUGCAAUUGCACCACUACCAGAUGGACCUGCGUUGUAUUAGCUAGUUGGUGAGGUAACGGCUCACCAAGGCGACGAUACAUAGCCGACCUGAGAGGGUGAUCGGCCACACUGGGACUGAGACACGGCCCAGACUCCUACGGGAGGCAGCAGUAGGGAGUCUUCGGCAAUGGACGGAAGUCUGACCGAGCAACGCCGCGUGAGUGAAGAAGGUUUUCGGAUCGUAAAGCUCUGUUGUAAGAGAAGAACGAGUGUGAGAGUGGAAAGUUCACACUGUGACGGUAUCUUACCAGAAAGGGACGGCUAACUACGUG